UAGGGAAUCUUCGGCAAUGGACGAAAGUCUGACCGAGCAACGCCGCGUGAGUGAAGAAGGUUUUCGGAUCGUAAAACUCUGUUGUUAGAGAAGAACAAGGACGUUAGUAACUGAACGUCCCCUGACGGUAUCUAACCAGAAAGCCACGGCUAACUACGUGCCAGCAGCCGCGGUAAUACGUAGGUGGCAAGCGUUGUCCGGUUUUAUUGGGCGUAAAGCGAGCGCAGGCGGUUUAUUAAGUCUGAUGUGAAAGCCCCCGGCUCAACCGGGGAGGGUCAUUGGAGACUGGGAGACUUGAGUGCAGAAGAGGAGAGUGGAAUUCCAUGUGUAGCGGUGAAAUGCGUAGAUAUAUGGAGGAACACCAGUGGCGAAGGCGGCUCUCUGGUCUGUAACUGACGCUGAGGCUCGAAAGCGUGGGGAGCAAACAGG
rnacentral:rRNA from 1 species